GAUGAACGCUGGCGGCGUGCCUAAUACAUGCAAGUCGAGCGAACAGACGAGGAGCUUGCUCCUCUGACGUUAGCGGCGGACGGGUGAGUAACACGUGGAUAACCUACCUAUAAGACUGGGAUAACUUCGGGAAACCGGAGCUAAUACCGGAUAAUAUAUUGAACCGCAUGGGUCAAUAGUGAAAGACGGUUUUGCUGUCACUUAUAGACGGAUCCGCGCCGCAUUAGCUAGUUGGUAAGGUAACGGCUUACCAAGGCAACGAUGCGUAGCCGACCUGAGAGGGUGAUCGGCCACACUGGAACUGAGACACGGUCCAGACUCCUACGGGAGGCAGCAGUAGGGAAUCUUCCGCAAUGGGCGAAAGCUUGACGGAGCAACGCCGCGUGAGUGAUGAAGGUCUUCGGAUCGUAAAACUCUGUUAUUAGGGAAGAACAAAUGUGUAAGUAACUAUGCACGUCUUGACGGUACCUAAUCAGAAAGCCACGGCUAACUACGUG
rnacentral:rRNA from 1 species